AUACGGAGGGUGCAAGCGUUAUCCGGAAUCAUUGGGUUUAAAGGGUCCGUAGGCGGACUAUUAAGUCAGAGGUGAAAUCCCACAGCUCAACUGUGGAACUGCCUUUGAUACUGGUAGUCUUGAGUUAUAUGGAAGUAGAUAGAACGUGUAGUGUAGCGGUGAAAUGCAUAGAUAUUACACAGAAUACCGAUUGCGAAGGCAGUCUACUACGUAUAUACUGACGCUAAGGGACGAAAGCGUGGGGAGCGAACAGGAUUAGAAACCCGAGUAGUCC
rnacentral:rRNA from 1 species